UACAGAGGUCUCAAGCGUUGUUCGGAUUCAUUGGGCGUAAAGGGUGCGUAGGCGGUAUGGCAAGUCAAGUGUGAAAUCUCGGAGCUCAACUUCGAAACUGCACUUGAUACUACUAUGCUAGAGGGUUGUAGAGGAGACCGGAAUUCACGGUGUAGCAGUGAAAUGCGUAGAUAUCGUGAGGAAGACCAGUUGCGAAAGCGGGUCUCUGGACAGUUCCUGACGCUGAGGCACGAAGGCCAGGGGAGCAAACGGG
rnacentral:rRNA from 1 species